GACGAACGCUGGCGGCGUGCCUAACACAUGCAAGUCGAGCGGAGUCGAUCGACGGAAGCCUUCGGGCGGAAGAUGGUUGACUUAGCGGCGGAUGGGUGAGUAACGCGUGGGCAACCUGCCUCGAAGACCGGGAUAACAGCCCGAAAGGGCUGCUAAUACCGGAUGUGGUCAAGGAUCCGCAUGGAUUUUUGAUUAAAGGGGAAACCCGUUUCGAGAUGGGCCCGCGUCCUAUCAGCUAGUUGGUGAGGUAAAAGCUCACCAAGGCGACGACGGGUAGCCGGCCUGAGAGGGUGACCGGCCACACUGGAACUGAGACACGGUCCAGACUCCUACGGGGGGCAGCAGUGGGGAAUCUUCCACAAUGGGCGAAAGCCUGAUGGAGCGACGCCGCGUGAGCGAAGAAGGCCUCGGUUGUAAAGCUCUGUCUGGAGGGACGAAGGGAAGUGACGGUACCUCCGGAGGAAGCCACGGCGUAACUACGUG
rnacentral:rRNA from 1 species